rnacentral:rRNA from 1 species
UACGAAGGGGGCUAGCGUUGCUCGGAAUCACUGGGCGUAAAGCGCACGUAGGCGGAUCUUUAAGUCAGGGGUGAAAUCCCAAGGCUCAACCUUGGAACUGCCUUUGAUACUGGGGAUCUCGAGUCCGGAAGAGGUUGGUGGAACUGCGAGUGUAGAGGUGAAAUUCGUAGAUAUUCGCAAGAACACCAGUGGCGAAGGCGGCCAACUGGUCCGGUACUGACGCUGAGGUGCGAAAGCGUGGGGAGCAACAGGG